UACGAGGGGGGCAAGCGUUGUUCGGAAUCACUGGGCGUAAAGGGUGCGUAGGCGGGUCUUAAGUCAGGGGUGAAAUCCUGGAGCUCAACUCCAGAACUGCCUUUGAUACUGAAGAUCUUGAGUUCGGGAGAGGUGAGUGGAACUGCGAGUGUAGAGGUGAAAUUCGUAGAUAUUCGCAAGAACACCAGUGGCGAAGGCGGCUCACUGGCCCGAUACUGACGCUGAGGCACGAAAGCGUGGGGAGCAAAAGGG
rnacentral:rRNA from 1 species